rnacentral:rRNA from 1 species
GACGAACGCUGGCGGCGUGCUUAACACAUGCAAGUCGAACGGAAAGGCCCUGCUUUUGUGGGGUGCUCGAUUGGCGAACGGGUGAGUAACACGUGAGUAACCUGCCCUUGACUUUGGGAUAACUUCAGGAAACUGGGGCUAAUACCGGAUAGGAGCUCCUGCUGCAUGGUGGGGGUUGGAAAGUUUCGGCGGUUGGGGAUGGACUCGCGGCUUAUCAGCUUGUUGGUGGGGUAGUGGCUUACCAAGGCUUUGACGGGUAGCCGGCCUGAGAGGGUGACCGGCGACAUGGGGACUGCGAGACGGCGCAGACGCCUACGGGAGGCAGCAGUGGGGAAUAUUGCACAAUGGGCGGAAGCCAGAUGCAGCAACGCCGCGUGCGGGAUGACGGCCUUCGGGGUGUAAACCGAUUUCGACUGUGACGAAGCGUGAGUGACGGUAAUGGGUAAAGAAGCACCGGCUAACUACGUG